GAUUCGUCGCAAUCUGGAUCUAUCUCAUUCGGUAGAUUUGAGAAUGAAGCUUUAUGUUGGGAGAGAAGAUCUUCUUUCACACACAACAGGUAUCUUGAAGAGGUUGAGAAAUACUCCAAGCCAGGUUCUGUAACCCAUGAAAAAGGCAUAUUUUGAGGAGCAUUUUAGAAGGAGGGCACUUCUAAGCCAGAGUUCAUCAAACUUCCAGAAUGGGGAUGAUUCUCAAGCUAGUUAUGAUGGACCUGAGAAUACAGAUUAUAAGGGGGACUUUAAGCAUGUUAAUGAGAUUGGCCAUUCUGCACACUUUGUUGAAAAUCAUGAUAGAGCAGCCACUUUAUUGGAGAAUGGAAAGUAUCAAGCUAGUGAAAAUGAAUGCUAUGCGGGGCACUUGGAGCUUGUUAAUGAAGUUGGCCAUUCUGCAUGUUUUGAUGAAAAUCAUGAUAGAUCAACCCAUUUAUCGAAGAAUGGAAAGUAUCAAGCCAAAAACACAGGCUAUGAUAGAGAUUUCGAGCGAGUGAAUGAUGUUGGUGAUUUUGCAUGCUUUGAGCAGAGUUUUGAUGGAUCAAACAAUGGAGACAUUGAAGUCACAGAAUGUGGCAGAGAAGGGUCAAGCAACAGAGACAUUGAAGCCACAGAACGUGAUGGAGAAGAUAGUAUAAUUUUCCAUUCUGGACGUCAGACUGAACAAUAUACCAAUAGUUCAGAUGUUCUUUAAAGUGUUCCUAAAGAUCUGGAAGCUGAAGCAAAUUUAAUCUCAAUGCUGGAAAUGCAGAUUUUAAUGAUCCUAAACCUACGAUUAAAGUGAAAGAUAAACUAGAGGGACAAGAUAGCAGUAUCAAGUUCUCAUCGAACUCUAUUGAUCUGUCCUCUUAUGCUCACACCACUGAGAAAGAUGGAAGUGUUAGUUCAGAACCUCGGUGAAGUUCAUCUUCGAAGGUGAGGACUGCAUCUCAAUCUAGAGAUACAAAAUCAAAAAUGUUGUCCCAAGUUAAUGUUGCUAGUGUCAAAGGGACAAUCUCAAAUCAAGCAUACAAAGACAUGCCAAGAAAACCAAAUAGAAGGCACAACGAUGUUUCUUUGACACAAAAAAGAGAAAAGCCCAGAUUGGACACACCUGGCACUCUUUUGCAUCCAACCACCAGAAUGCCAAAACCAGAGGUUUUUUUGGGUUUAAAAGCUAAUGUACUUAACCAACGUAAAAGUUCUUUAUGAAGCUAGAGGAGAAAGUGCAUGCCAAAGAGGAAGAAAUGCAUCAGCUCCAAGCAAGAACCCAGGAAAAGAAAGAAGCAGCGAUCAAACAGCUACGGAGAAAUCUCAGUUUCAAAGAAACUCCCAUGCCUGCUUUCUACCAUGAACCUAGUUGCCGCUCAGUAAAAAACAAGGUAUUAUAACAGGUCUCAAAUAAUG